CCUACGGGAGGCAGCAGUGGGGAAUAUUGCACAAUGGGGGAAACCCUGAUGCAGCGACGCCGCGUGAGUGAAGAAGUAUUUCGGUAUGUAAAGCUCUAUCAGCAGGGAAGAAAAAAGACGGUACCUGACUAAGAAGCCCCGGCUAACUACGUGCCAGCAGCCGCGGUAAUACGUAGGGGGCAAGCGUUAUCCGGAUUUACUGGGUGUAAAGGGAGCGUAGACGGUAUGGCAAGUCUGAAGUGAAAGCCCAGGGCUUAACCCUGGGACUGCUUUGGAAACUGUUAGACUAGAGUGCUGGAGAGGUAAGUGGAAUGCCUGGUGGAGCGGUGAAAUGCGUAGAGAUUAGGAGGAACACAAGUGGCGAAGGCGGUUUACUAAA
rnacentral:rRNA from 1 species